rnacentral:lncRNA from 1 species
GCUCAGCAUUCCCAAGAUUUUAUUUUAUUGGUGAUGAUGACUUAUUAGAAAUAUUGGGCCAGUCUACCAACCCAUCAGUGAUUCAGUCUCACCUGAAGAAGCUUUUUGCUGGUAUUAACAGUGUUUGCUUUGAUGAGGAAUCAAAACAUAUAACUGCAAUGAAAUCUUUAGAGGGAGAAGUUGUACCUUUUAAAAAUAAAGUUCCUCUAUCAAAUAAUGUAGAGACAUGGUUGAAUGAUUUGGCCUUGGAAAUGAAGAAAACUUUGGAACAGUUGUUGAAGGAAUGUGUUACUACUGGGCGAAGUUCUCAAGGUGCAGUUGACCCAUCUCUGUUCCCUUCACAGAUUUUAUGCUUGGCGGAGCAGAUUAAAUUCACUGAAGAUGUAGAAAAUGCUAUUAAAGAUCAUAGUCUUCAUCAGAUUGAAACACAACUGGUGAAUAAGUUAGAGCAAUAUACUAACAUUGAUACAAGUUCUGAGGAUCCAGG